rnacentral:lncRNA from 1 species
CUAAACAGCUGCAUUAUCUGACUUUGUGUGUGGUUUUUGUCUUGGGGGGACAGAACAGACAGCUGCCAAGAUGGUAAAAGUGAGCUAAUACUCCAGCCUCGCAUCUGCAAGGAUACAAAGAAGUCCACUGUCGCCCCGGACACCAUCCUGAGAGCGUUCAGACAGGAGAACGUAGAUCCAGGACUGAAAACUCCCAUCCAGGUGAGGAGGACAGAUCUACUCCACGACGCUCUGGAGGUGGUGAGGAGGCCCGACUUCUGCUUCAGGGCGACGCCUGUUAUCUCCUUCAGUGGAGAAGAGCCCGACGGCCACAAGGCCCCUGUCAGAGAGUUCUUCAGGUCCUCAUCGUUUCCCUGAAAUUAUAGCUGAAGCUGAUGGCCUCAGGCAUAAAAUAAGUCAUAUGGUUUUUUAUACUCAAGCUACUUUAAUUUAUUCAAACUCUAAUCCAACAUAACUGUAUGUUGUUGUUGUUGUUGUUUUUUUUCAAUUGGAAAACUGGCUCACAAAAAGAUUUCCACAUGGACCACCUUCUGCCUAGCAUGUAGUCUUUAAUAGGAUCAUAUUCUAUACAUUUUGGGGCUGAAGUUAACAAUUUGAAAAUUAUGAUAUUUCAGGAUCCCAGAAGACAGUGUGGUAUUAAAACUAAUUGUGUUGUUUGGUCAACCGUCCAAAACCCCAAAUAUGUGAACAGAUGGUAUUUACCAUAAUACAAAAUGGAAAGGCAGCAGCAGAUUUUUUUUUCUUUGAUCGAUGACAUAAUAAUGAGUAGUAAUAUACCUGUACUAGCUGUACAGCAUUUAAUUUAACUAGUUUAGGGGCAUUUCACUUUUUUUUAGCGCUCUGAAAGACACAGAGGCUAACAGUCUUUUAAACAGAGUACCACAAAUAACAUGUAUCCCUUUAGAAAUAAACUUUUCUUGUGAUACUUCUAAAAACCACAUAUUCUUAACUAGCCACAAUAACACUGUAUUGACCCCCCAAUGUUCCUUUAAUGCAUCAAUCCCUAUAAUUAUCUAUUAGUCACACACUGUAACAGUUAUUUAUUUGUA